ACACUUUACUUGAAGCAACACAUGCCGUACACACCAAAGGGCAUAACCUAUAUAUACCACCCCUCCCCUUCCUUCAUGUCCAUCCUUCCACUCAACAAUUUUUCCCAUUCUCAAAUUCAAACAGCUCAAAUGGCUCUCCCCACAGUUUCUUUGAUUCUUGCGUUGUCUCUCAUGUCAUUCUUUGCAUCUUCUGGUUUAGCUCGUGAUUUCUCAAUUGUAGGCUAUGCCCCAGAAGACUUGACGUCUAGGGAUAAGAUCAUUGAUCUCUUUGAAUCAUGGAUAUCAAAACACCAGAAGAUUUAUGAGAGUAUUGAAGAAAAAUGGCAUAGAUUUGAGAUUUUCAAAGAUAAUUUGUUCCACAUUGACGAGACUAAUAAGAAGGUUGUUAACUACUGGCUUGGAUUGAAUGAGUUCGCUGAUUUGAGCCAUGAAGAGUUCAAAAACAAGUAUCUUGGCUUGAAUGUUGACUUGUCUAACAGAAGAGAAUGCUCUGAGGAAUUCACAUACAAGGAUGUCUCGAGCAUCCCAAAGGCUGUGGAUUGGAGAAAGAAAGGAGCUGUUACUGAUGUCAAGAACCAAGGUUCAUGUGGUAGCUGCUGGGCCUUUUCAACAGUGGCAGCAGUAGAAGGUAUAAAUCAGAUUGUUACUGGAAAUUUGACAUCCCUCUCUGAGCAAGAGUUGGUCGAUUGUGAUACUACAUAUAACAAUGGAUGCAAUGGAGGACUUAUGGAUUAUGCAUUUGCUUACAUAAUCUCCAACGGUGGCCUCCACGAGGAGGAAGAUUACCCAUACAUCAUGGAAGAGGGCACUUGUGAGAUGAGAAAGGCAGAAUCAGAGGUAGUAACCAUUAGUGGAUACCAUGAUGUGCCACAAAACAGUGAAGAAAACCUAUUGAAGGCACUUGCAAACCAGCCCCUGAGUGUGGCCAUUGAUGCUUCUGGCAGAGACUUCCAGUUUUACAGCGGGGGUGUUUUUGAUGGUCAUUGUGGAACCGAGCUAGAUCAUGGAGUGGCAGCCGUUGGAUAUGGAUCAACCAAGGGCUUGGACUUCAUCGUAGUUAAAAACUCUUGGGGAUCUAAAUGGGGAGAAAAGGGUUUCAUAAGGAUGAAGAGAAACACUGGCAAGCCCGCAGGACUUUGUGGAAUCAACAAGAUGGCUUCUUAUCCCACCAAGAAGAAGUGACAUGCUAAAUGUCCUAAAUUUGUGUUUUUCCCCUUCUUAUUUACUAUUUCUGAAAUCUGGAUGUCAUGGGGAUGAUGAUGUCUUGUAAUAAUUGAUUUUCUAAAUUCAUGUCCACUCAAGCUCAUGUUUUCUCUGCUACUACCAGCAUGCCCCUACAAAAACUAUUAGCAUCCCCAUGUUCUGUUACAGCUUCCUUAACUCCAUUCUGGCUA